GGAAAUGGAUAAGAAGGAAAAGAGAGGAUAGAUAGAGUUAUCAGAAGAAGAAAAAGGAAGAGAAAAGUAGAGAAGAGGAGAAAGAGAGAAAGAGGAAGAGAAGAGCUUGGGAGGAGAAGAAGAAAUCCAUGGAGGAUCAUCAUCUUCACCACCAUCAUCUCAUCUUCAUCAUCAUCAUCAUCACCAACUUCAUCUCUAUUUCACCAUCUUCACCAUCUCCAUGUGUCCAAGAAAGAAAGAAGAAAAGAGGAAAUGGAUAAGUAGGAAAAGAGAGGAUAGAUAGAGUUAUCAGAAGAAGAAAAAGGAAGAGAAAAGUAGAGAAGAGGAGAAAGAGAGAAAGAGGAAGAGAAGAGCUUGGGAGGAGAAGAAGAAAUCCAUGGAGGAUCAUCAUAUUCACCACCAUCAUCUCAUCUUCAUCAUCAUCAUCAUCACCAACUUCAUCUCUAUUUCACCAUCUUCACCAUCUCCAUGUGUCCAAGAAAGAAAGAAGAAAAGAGGAAAUGGAUAAGAAGGAAAAGAGAGGAUAGAUAGAGUUAUCAGAAGAAGAAAAAGGAAGAGAAAAGUAGAGAAGAGGAGAAAGAGAGAAAGAGGAAGAGAAGAGCUUGGGAGGAGAAGAAGAAAUCCAUAGAGGAUCAUCAUCUUCACCACCAUCAUCUCAUAUUCAUCAUCAUCAUCACCAACUUCAUCUCUAUU